rnacentral:rRNA from 1 species
ACGUAGGUGGCAAGCGUUGUCCGGAAUUACUGGGUGUAAAGGGAGCGUAGGCGGGAGUGCAAGUUGAAUGUGAAAACUAUGGGCUCAACCCAUAGUUGCGUUCAAAACUGCAUUUCUUGAGUGAAGUAGAGGUAAGCGGAAUUCCUAGUGUAGCGGUGAAAUGCGUAAAUAUUAGGAGGAACACCAGUGGCGAAGGCGGCUUACUGGGCUUUAACUGACGCUGAGGCUCGAAAGCGUGGGUAGCAAACAG